GGUCGGCUCUGAGGGGAGAAGAAGAUGGCGGGGUCGCCGCUGCGUUUGGUGGAGGAGCUGGAGACGGCGCCGAAGGAGAUGACGAAGACUGCUGGAGGCAGUGAGCUGGGUGUGGCUGGAAAUGGCUGGGACUAUGGAGGCAACAACCAACCUCUGUUUCUGGGAGAACCGAGAGAGGGAGGCUGUGGAUUGGAGACGGCGCUGCUGGCUUACUGGCGGUGAAAACCGGCUGAAAGGAGAGUGAGGCAGAUGAAGGAGAGCGUGUCCGAUGCUCUCUGGUUCCUGGCCUCAAUAGAGAAGGAAGGGGAUGAGCAGCGGCUGGUUUCUGUGGGUGAGAGGGUUUGGUGCUUAGAAAAAUUGGAACCGGGGAGUGGUUCUGCGUUGUUAGCUGAAAAUGAGAGGAAAUGGGGGGAAGAUUAGUUGUGGUUUUUUAAGGACAACGAAGGCUGGUCUGCUCGUGUUUGGCUGCAACCGAGAGGGCUGAGGGAGAGAUUGAGGUUGAUUUGUGAGGUGAGAAUGAAGGGAAAAUUGGCUGAAGAGAGGUGCCUCUGUUUUUCAAAGAGAGGGGGUCAGUUCCUGGCUCGCGUGGGAGAUGCCGAAAUGAUCAUGGGAGCAAAAAUCUCUAGAGCUCCUGUUCGGGCCAGGGAGCUCUGGUUCUCUCUUUUCAAACGAGACUCUGCAAAGGCAGCUCAACAGGGAAUAGAGGCUUGAUCGGCGGCUCCAGAAAAAGAAAAUCAAAAUGGAGGAGCCUCCUUGUUUUUUGUCGAGGAGAAAGGUGGCGGCUCAGGGAGCCAAAAAUAAAAACCAGUGGGGGGCUGUGCGCAGAGAAGGAAAAAAUUUCCCGAAAGGGAGGGGGUCUCCCUGGCGGCCGCUGUCAGUAGAGACUAAGAGUUUUUUUUUUAGGGUUCUUUCUUUCCUCCUUAAAUUACAAAAUGAACCCCCCUCCAUAAAAUGAGUUAAAAACUGCUAUUUAUAGGCAAAACAUUUUUUCGGGUUUCCAAAUCGGUCCCCCGAUUUUUUUGUGUUCAAUUGACUUGGUAAAAAUUAAAUUUGAUCUUAAAAUUUUAAUCUUUUCAAAUCAGUCCAAAUUAAGCUCCCAAACUUAAUUUUUCACCAAUUAAGCCCCCAAAUUAAUUUGACCCAUUUAAAGUAUAAUCAAGUCCUUUCACUUAAUUAAAUCCUUCAAUUGGACCUAAAUUUAUUCUCAAACAUAAUUAAAAUUUAAUUUGACCCAUGAUUAAAUCAAAUUGGCCCAUUAAAAAUUUAAUUAUGUCAUUGGACUUAAUUUUUAUGCAAAUUCAUCCAAUAAUCAUUUGAUUUGACCUUCGAAUAUGCAUUUAAUUUGACCUUCGAUUUUUGCCUAUUUUUGCAGUCUUUUUUUAUUGGCUUUCUCCGCAGUGCCAGCCUUUAUUUUAUUUUUUAUUUUUUUUAUUUUAAAAAAAGUGAAAUUUAGGGAAUAACCCAAAAUUGGGUUAUGACAGUUGCCCCCCUCUUUACAAUGCUUAUGAUAGAAAGUCUCGUAGGGGACUUUAGAUAGUAAGCGUUGUAAAGAAGAAAAAAGGAAGAUGUUUUUUUUUUUUUUUUUUUUUUAAAUUCAAAGAUUUUGAAAUGGUCGAAUUGUCAUGGGUGACCUACUCGGGUGAAAAACACGAAGAUGUUUUAAAGUGGUGAAAAAUACAGAGAUUUUUCAAAGAGGUGAAAAAUACAGAGAUUUUUCAAAGUGGUGAGAAAUACGAAGAUUUCUAAAAAUAGUUUUAUUGUUAUGGGCAACCGGCCCAGAUGAAAGGUUUUGAAAAAUACAAAGAUUUUUUCAAAUAGGUGAAAAAUGCAGAGAUUUUUCAAAGUGGUGAGAAAUGCAAAGAUUUCUCAAGAUGGUGAAAAAUUUUAGAGGUGGUGAGAAAUGCACAGAUUUCUCAAAAUGAUGAAAAAUGCAAAGAUUUUUCAAAGUGGUUUUGUUGUAAUGGGCAAACGGCCCAAUUGAAAGGUUUUGAAAAAUACAAAGAUUUUUUCAAAGAGGCAAAAAAUGCAGAGAUUUUUCAAAGUGGUGAGAAAUGCGAAGAUUUCUCAAAAAUGAUCUUGUUGUGAUGGGCGACUUGCCUAGAUGGAAAGUGAUGAAAAAUGCAAAGAUUUUUCAAAGUGGUGAGAAAUACAAAGAUUUCUCAAAGUGGUGAAAAAUGCAGAGAUUUUUCAAAGUGGUUUUAUUGUAAUGGGCAACCGGCCCGAUGGAAAGGUUUUGAAAAAUACAAAGAUUUUUUCAAAGAGGUGAAAAAUGCAGAGAUUUUUCAAGAUGGUGAAAAUUUUUGGAGGUGGUGAGAAAUGCAAAGAUUUCUCAAAGUGGUGAAAAAUUCCAAGAUUUUUCAAAGUGGUGAGAAAUACAAAGAUUUCUCAAAGUGGUGAAAAAUACAGAGAUUUUUCAAAGUGGUGAGAAAUGCAAAGAUUUCUCAAAGUGGUGAGAAAUGCAAAGAUUUCUCAAAGUGGUCUUGUUGUGAUGGGCAACCGGCCCAAGUGAAAAAGUUUGAGAGUGGGGAGAAAUGCAAGGAUUUCUCAGAAUUGGUGAAAAAUGUAAAGAUUUUUCAAGGUGGUGAAAAAUGCAGAGAUUUUUCAAAGUGGUUUUAUUGUUAUGGGCAACCGGCCCAAAUGGAAGAUGAAAAGAGUUUUGAAAGAGGUCUGAUUAUAAUGGGUGACCUACCCAGGCGAAAAGGCAAAAUGUCUGAAAGGGACAGCAUGAUAGGACUCGAUGGGGAACGAAGGCUGAAGAGCGCACUCAAAAGGAGGUAGGGUUAGAAAAACACACUACCUAAGAGGUGAGUGCUCCAAGGCGCACUCUAAAGGAGGCAGGGUUGGAAAACACACUACCCGAGAGGUGAGGGCUCGAAGGAGCUCUCAAAAAGAGGCAGGGUUGGAAAACACACUACCUAAGAGGUGAGGGCUCGAAGGAGCAUUUGAAAGGAGGUAAGGUUGGAAAACUCACUACCUAAAGUGGUGAGGGCUCGAAGGAGCAUACGAAAGGAGGUAAGGUUGGGAAACGCACUACCUAAAGUGGUUGAAGGCUCUAAGGCACACUCAAAAGGGGAGUUAGGGUCAUAAAACACACUACCUAAAGGGGUUGUUAGCUCGAAGGCGCGCUAAAAAAGAGGCAGGGUUGGAAAACGCACUACCUAAAGGGUUAAGGCUCGAAGGCGUACUAAAAAAGGAGGCAGGGUUGGAAAACACACUACCUAAAGGUGAUCAAGGGUUCAAAGGUGCACUCGAAAAGAGGUAAGGAGGUAAGGUUGGAAAAUGCCCUACCUAAGGUGGUUAAUGGCCCUAAGGCGCACUUAAAAAGAGAUAGGGUUGGAAAACGCACUACCUAAGGGUUUGAUGGCUCUAAGGCGCACUUAAAAGGAGAUAGGGUUGAAAAACGCACUACCUAUAGGUGAUCGAAGGCUCUAAGGCGCACUCAAAAGGGGAGGUAGGGUCAGAAAAACACACUACCUAAAGUGGUUGAUGGCUCGAAGGCGCACUAAAAAGGAGGUAAGGUUGGAAAACACAUUACACAAGAGGUGAGGGCUCGAAGGAGCUCUCAAAAAGAGAGGCAGGGUUUGGAAAACACACUACCUAAGAGGUUAGGGCUCGAAGGCGCACUCUAAAGGAAGUAGGGUUGAAAAACACACUACCCGAGAGGUGAGGUAUCGACGAUAUAUUCGAAAGGAGGUAAGGUUUGAAAACGCACUACCUAAAGUGGUGAGGGCUCAAAGGCGCCCUUAAAAGGAGAGGUAGGGUCAGAAAACACACUACCUAAGAUGGCUGGAGGCUCUAAAGCGCAUUCAAAAGGAGGUAUGGUUAGAAAACACAUUACCCAAGGGGUGAGGGCUAAAAGACGCCCUCAGAAGGAGGUAGGGUUGGAAAACACACUACCUAAAAGGUUAUGGCUCAAAGGCACACUAAAAAAGAGGUAGAGUUAGAAAACACACUACCUAAAAGGUUAGGGCUCAAAGGCACACUAAAAAAGAGGUAGGGUUAGAAAACACCCUACCUAAGGGGUGAGGGCUAAAAGACGCCCUCAGAAGGAGGUAGGGUUGGAAAACACACUACCUAAAAGGUUAGGCUUCAGCAACCCGCUCAAAAAGAGGUGAUGGUGAGACACCGAUCUGUCAAGGAUGAAAGUAAUGCAUCAUGAUCAAUAUGCAUGUAUACUUACCUGAGAAGUACAGGUCCCCUUUUUCUUCAUGGAGUUCUCCUUUUCUCAAAAGUUUGAGUCUCUGAUAAUAAGCUUUGAUGGCUCUUUUCGCUCUUGCUUACUCGAGUCAUAUCUUACGAUCUUGGCCUCUAAGAAAGACUUGAUGUCAUCAUUUCUUUGUUCUCCGCCCCUUUUAUCUCAAGGGUUGCAAAUUUUGCCCAAUAGUUUCUUCGAAAGGGAAUCACGGAGCAAGCUCUACCAGAUGUUUUUGAUUGCCCCCUAGCUUGAUCAUGCCCCCAAGUAUUCAAUUCGGGUUUGGGGAUGAGGCUAUGUGACGGAAGGUUUGACAAGGAGUUGUUUUCAUGCAGAAUUUUUGGAAUUUCAAAGCUAUUCCAGACACAGAAAUCAUUUUAACAUCGAUUCAAAGCGAACUCAUUCUGAAGAAAUUCAAGUGAUUCCUAUGGAGAGGUUUUCAGAAGUGAUGAAAACUUUUUUUUUGUUUUGAUUUUUGGUGAAAAAUAUGAAGUGACAUCUGGUUGGUCACAAAAGGUUUAAAUUUCAAUGAAGUGACAUCUGGUUGGUCACAAAAGGUUUGAAUUUCAAUUUGAGGGUUAUUGAGAACCGUCGGUGAAAAUGUGAUGAACACGAAGUGACAUCUGGUUGGUCACAAAAGGUUUAGAUUUCAAUGAAGUGACAUCUGGUUGGUCACAAAAGGUUUAAAUUUCAAUGAAGUGACAUCUGGUUGGUCACAAAAGGUUUAAAUUUCAAUGAAGUGACAUCUGGUUGGUCACAAAAGGUUUGAAUUUCAAUUUGAGGGUUAUUGAGAACCGUUUUCAAAGCAGUCAUUUUAUUUGCAUGAAUAAUGAUUUUAUUUCGCAUGAGAAAGCACUGCCUACCGAUCCAGAUUGCUUGCCUUUGAUCAGAAAGGGCUUCAUUAGGCAUGUAAUGUAGGCUUGGGCUUUUGGCUAUGAAGAAAAUGAUAUAUGUAGGCUCAAAAGGUGUUUAAGGGACUUUAAGACUAAGGAUCACAAGUGCUUAUAUCCCAAACUCUUUUGUUCAUACAUUUCUGGACCUUGGAAUUGAUUUGUAAAAUGGUCCACGGUGCCCCCAGUGUUGGGCUUGGGCUUUUUCUCUUUGUUUUUGUUUUCUUCAUUUGAUUUUGAGCAUCAUUGCAUUGGCCUUUUUUUUUGCUCAAAUUUUUGGAUCCUUUGGAUUUUUCUUCAUGCCCCCUAGCUUUGUAUGGGCACCUUUGAUGAUUGAGAAUUUUCUUUUAUGCCCCCCAGUAUUGUUUGGGCACUUUCAUUGUUGAAGACUUUUUCAUGCCCCAAGAGUUAUUUGGGCACUUUCAAUCAUUAUGGAUUUUUUUGCACUUGCCCCCCAGUGUAGGGUGUGAUCCUAGCCAAGGUUAUUUUUCAAGAAAAAUUUAUUAGGCUCAAAAGGGGACUGCAAAUGAUAUAUUUCAGCCUUGUGAAAGGAUUAUCAAAGAUGGCCUUUCUUCAUCUCAAAUGCAUGCAUUUAGGAUCGGUAAGCCUUGCUUUCAUGCGAGUAUGCAGCGUGAUUUCUCAUUAUUCAUGCAAUCAAAACUCAGCUUUUGGAGUCACUUCAUGGUUUUUUUUUUUGGGUUUUCUAGGUGUAUGGUUACCUCUCUAAGGAAUCACCUGAAUUUCCAGAACUCGUUUGUUUCGAACAAACAUCAACAUGAUUUCUGUUUUUGUACUAAACUUUGAAUUCCCAAAAAUCCUUAUGAAAACAUGGGGUCCUGUUUUGUUUUGGGAAGAAAAGGGAAACGCACCACAAGAUUUUGGGCGCGGUGGUUUCAUGCUUAAAGGUUAUGCUCAAUGUGUUAUUUGCAUGAAACAACAAAAAUGAUGGCAUGUGAUGAACACAGCAAAACACAUGAUAAAGGCUCAGUGGACAGGGAAAGUCUUGUGGAAUUUUGAGCCAAAUUACCAACAAAAACUGGAAUAGGUUGAAACAAAAAAUCAAGUUUUUGGAGGCAUGAUCAAACAGAGGUAGUUAUUUUGGCAGAGCAAGAACAUGCUCCUUUCUGCAACGGUGAUGCAAUUCACCUUCAAAUUGUGUUGAGGCUCUUGAUCAUGUUGGCCCCAAUUUCUUCGGGUUGAGUCUUUGUUGGGGCUGCGAACAAAAAUGACUGGCCGAUUGGAAGGACCUUCACUAGAGGCAUUUCUAAGUGUUUGCUCGAGUAAGCUAGUGAGGCGAGCCACACUUGCUUUCAGAGACUCUAACUCUUCUUGGAAAUGGAUGCUGCGGUGAGCACGCUCUUUGUCUCCAAUGUUUUUUCUCUCAAAAUCAGGUGUUGUAGACUCGGAGGGGACCUACUUUUUAUUCUGGUGCAUGCAUGACAAAUGUAUGAACAUGAAGUCUAUAUGAUGAACUCGCCCUUCGAGGGGUGACAACAUGGUCGUAACUCUUGUAUGAUGGAACAAGAAUUGUGAUUUUUGCCCAAACUCUACAAUGAAAAUUUUCCGAGUGACGACCAAUGUGUCACCCAAAAUCUUGAGUUCAAGAUGCUUCAAGAAGGGUUCGCCCGAUGCAAAUAAAUGAUAGCACAUACAACCUAAGGACAGGUUCUAUUCAUUGUGUGAACAUGGGUAGGUUUUCUACCUGGUCUCAAAAGGGUCUAUGAACUGCCCAGUGACACCUCACGUGAAGGCAGUAUAGGGGUUUACAAGGAAUGGUUGGGGCACCAUGUGACCGCCAUUACCGAGUAAACACUCAGCUCAUAGUUGGAUGUUUCACAAAUCUGAACCCCGACUGAAAGUCAUGAGGUAGACUGCUACUCCCCACCUAACUUAGAAGCUUGUGUGUGCUUUCAAAAAUAAAUACAAGUGAUGCAUGAAACAAUUCUAAAAUGCAUGCAUAAAAUAAAACAAGACAAAAAUGGCAAAAUUUAAACACAUCAAGUACACAAAGCUUAGUCCAAUAUUGUCAGAAACAAGUACCUCCCCAGUGGAGUCGCCAUUCUGUCGCACGUCGAAAAAUCCGCGCGCGGCAUCGGCUGGCGAUUUAUGUCUCGUUGUUGUAUUGCUUGAAUUGGUUCGUUAGGAGUCGCCACCUAGUAUUUAAUUGAGGUUACUAGGAAACCCUGGUGGACUGGUCAUGGUCAGAGAUUCGCGGGUAAGGGACUGAUUGUGGUUAGGGAAGGUGUUAGCACCCCUAACGCACCCUACCUGAGGUAAGCUGCUCGUGGACUUGAUGUGUUAAAGAAGUUUUAAAAAUUUUGUCUUUUCAUCGGAUUUUAAAAUACAACUUCCGUACAAGUUUGUAUUUCUACACCGUGAUCCAAUCAAAAUAUUAAAUCCUUCUUUAUUCUUUGCUGUCUCAUCAAAAAAAAAUUCAUUAAACAAAUGUAACAUGCAUUUUUUAUUAUAUAUUUCUUUCUUUUUCUUUUUCUUUUUCUUUUAUUCAAUAACAUACAUUAAAAAAUACAAAACACACCAUCUCUUUUUUUAUUAUUUUUUCUCUUUUUUUACAUUCACUUUACACAAAUAAAUUCAAAACAAAUAAAUACAAAUUACAUUAAUAAAUUUAAAUUUUACAAAACAGUCCCUAAAAGUCCAGAAAUUGCAUUGAAGGACACUGCCGGAACUGCUGAACAGUGGGGCGCGUCUUCCACGUGCCACGCCACUGGCGGCGCGUGGGUGCACGUGCCGCCAGAAAACUGAGAAACAGAGGCGCCUGGAGGGCUUCUUCUCCUCUUCAAUUUUUCAGCCGGCGGUAAGGGGCCGAUCACCUGCAAACACAAGAAAACGCAAACAAGCAGUUGAUUUUAGUUUUUUGUUUCGGAUCUGCUCAUUACAGAUCUGUUCUUUUCGUUUCCCCAGGCGACGGUCGGCUCUGAGGGGAGAAGAAGAUGGCGGGGUCGCCGCUGCGUUUGGUGGAGGAGCUGGAGACGGCGCCGAAGGAGAUGACGAAGACUGCUGGAGGCAGUGAGCUGGGUGUGGCUGGAAAUGGCUGGGACUAUGGAGGCAACAACCAACCUCUGUUUCUGGGAGAACCGAGAGAGGGAGGCUGUGGAUUGGAGACGGCGCUGCUGGCUUACUGGCGGUGAAAACCGGCUGAAAGGAGAGUGAGGCAGAUGAAGGAGAGCGUGUCCGAUGCUCUCUGGUUCCUGGCCUCAAGAGAGAAGGAAGGGGAUGAGCAGCGGCUGGUUUCUGUGGGUGAGAGGGUUUGGUGCUUAGAAAAAUUGGAACCGGGGAGUGGUUCUGCGUUGUUAGCUGAAAAUGAGAGGAAAUGGGGGGAAGAUUAGUUGUGGUUUUUUAAGGA
rnacentral:lncRNA from 1 species